GAUGAAGAACGUAGCGAAAUGCGAUAAGUAAUGUGAAUUGCAGAAUUCAGUGAAUCAUCGAAUCUUUGAACGCACAUUGCGCCCGCCAGUAUUCUGGCAGGCAUGCCUGUUCGAGCGUCAUUACAACCCUCAGGCCCCCGGGCCUGGCGUUGGGGAUCGGCGGAGCCCCCCGUGGGCACACGCCGUCCCCCAAAUGCAGUGGCGGUCCCGCCGCAGCUUCCAUCGCGUAGUAGCUAACACCUCGCGACUGGAGAGCGGCGCGGCCACGCCGUAAAACACCCAACUCUUCUGAAGUUGACCUCGAAUCAGGUAGGAAUACCCGCUGAACUUAAGCAUAUCAAUAAGCGGAGGA
rnacentral:misc_RNA from 1 species